UCUUUGGUAAGGUAUGAUAUAUUUGGCUAAGUGACUAAAAGAUACGAAUCAAAGUAACAUCAUCACCAACCUUAUAGCAUUCUUGAUCCAUACCAUCCACAAAACCAAAAUUUUCAAUAUAGAAUCCAUCACAACACAACAAUUAUUUCUCAUGACAUUAUGUCUUUCUAAAGCAUCCUAUGUACCUCAUUUUUUUCUUUUUCUUUUUUCAAUUCUUUUCCCUUUUCUUUUCUUUCUUUCUCUUUUUUUUUCCUUUUUUUUUCAAACAAGUCAGGGUACUAGGAUUUUUUCACUCUAGAACAACAUUCAUAAACCAUAAUCACGCAUCUCCACAAACCAACUACCCCAUAACAACAAUCUCCAAGCUCCCACCCAAUGCUAAAUCAAAGAAUAUGGAUAAUAGCUAGGGCUCAAAGGGGGCGAACUAGGAUCAUAUAUAGUAAAAGGACAACUAUGGGAAAUAUAGGCUAGUAAAGAUGGCCUUCUAUCAUCUCAAAGUUAUUAAGCACACUAUGUGACCUCGAGGGAGAAACCAAGACAAGUUCUAGUGAGACACAAGCAUGCUCGAACAAUCACUCAAGAAUAAGAAGUAAGACUGUAAAAAUAGUGACAGUCAAGGCUCAAAUCUCACAGCUUAUAUCAUUGAUUGCAAACACAUAGAGACCAUGCUUAUGAUUCACCAG
rnacentral:lncRNA from 1 species